GCCCGACUGGCGCAAUGGUUAGCGCGCAAGAUUUCUAUUUCCUCUAUAGUCUUUAGAACUAUAUGUCUAGAUAUCAUCUUGAGGUUGCCGGUUCGACCCCGGCGUUGGGCU
rnacentral:tRNA from 1 species